UUGAAGCUUAAAAUUUAGAAUUACUAAAAGUUUGUAGCUGAAGUUGUCUAGUGAGAAAGACUCCAAGGACCUGAAUUGUAAUUCACACUCGAAACACUCUGCUCAUGAAUAUGAAAAAGGGCAGAAAUUAGGGUUUUUAUUUACCGAUUCCACUCGAACAAGAUGAGGUCAUCUGUGGUGAUGGUUUUCAGGGGCGGUAACCCUACUCUCCUCUGAAGUAUGAUUUUGACUUUAUUAUUAUUAUUAUUAAGUCAAAACUAGUCUUCAUGGCCGAUGAUUCUGUUCAAAUUUCAACAACCCCUCUUGUGUUCUAUCAGAAGCUGUUGAUGUAAACAGCCGAACGUACAUACUACAAACAUACCAAAGAACUUGGGUUGUGGUGCAGUUUGUCGCUUGUUUAUGUUAUAUUGUUAUUAUUGUUAUUAUUAGCUAGAGGUGCACAAAAAAAAAAAAAAAAAAAAAAAACCCGGUUUGGAUUCCAAAAUCGGGUUGAGAUUAAAGACCGUUGAAACCGGUUUGGAUCCUUAGAAAGGCUGUGAUGAUCAACUUUAGUCUGUCCGAGUGGAUCGGAUCAAAGUUUGAGAUUAUCUGCAUCUUGGCGGGGCAAUCAAUCUGGAUGGUUAUGUGAAAGAUUCUCUCACAUUGCAACCGAUCGAUUUGCAGCCAUGGCGGAUUUAUCCGACUUUGUUCCAUCGUUUACAGAUCUGAGCCUCGUACAAAUCAGUUUUGCAAACUCAAAAGUUCUGAAAUAUAUUUGAAAUUUACGAUUGUGACUAGUUUACUCUUCGUUAAAGUUAGUGCAAUUUCACUUUUGCCCCGAGCGCCCACACAUAUAUACAAUUUCACUUUAACACGUUAUUUUACUAAUUUCGUGAAAAUAAUGUUAAAAGCGGCGGAUGGUUAAUCAUGCAUCAUGUGGUGACGUUGAUCGCUGAAAGACACGGGGGUACAUGCACCAAUCAGUCUCUGUCCUUAUUGUUUGAGUAUUAUGUGUCUUAAGUCCAAGGCUUGACACAAAACUACAAUCGAGCCUGGGUUCUCACUGGAAUCGGCCUCUCUAUUCCUAUAGGGUAGAGGUCUGUAGUUGCACGAUGACUGCUGAUGACACUCUACAUGAAAGCUAAUAAUGGUCCAGCUGUUGUUCGAUUUAUAUCUUUUGAGUUUAUGUUUUCUUUUGAAAAUUCUGACCCAUUAACUUGCUUCUGAAUUGAUCAACUGGUUUAUGUUCUCGUUCAUUUUCCAAAAGCUGGCCAAAUACUUUUAUGACUAUUAGCUUCGAUGAUGGCUCGCCAGAUUUUAUUA